GGCUACCCAUCCAAGGAAGGCAGCAGGCGCGCAAAUUACCCAUUCCCGACGCGGGGAGGUAGUGACGAAAAAUAACAAUGCAGGACUCGUUCGAGGCCCUGUAAUUGGAAUGAGUACACUUUAAAAGCUUUAACGAGUAUCCAUUGGAGGGCAAGUCUGGUGCCAGCAGCCGCGGUAAUUCCAGCUCCAAAAGUAUAUAUUUAAGUUGUUGCGGUUAAAAAGCUCGUAGUUGGAUUUUGGGCGCAGGCGGCCGGUCCGUCGCAAGGCGUGUACUGGACGUCCUGGCCUUCCCUCCGGUUCUCCGCCGGUGCUCUUGACUGAGUGUCGGCGGCGGCCGGAACGUUUACUUUGAAAAAAUUAGAGUGUUCAAAGCAGGCUCUCGAGCCUGGAUAAUGGUGCAUGGAAUAAUGGAAUAGGACCUCGGUUCUAUUUUGUUGGUUUUCGGAGCGCGAGGUAAUGAUUAAGAGGGACAGACGGGGGCAUUCGUACUGUGCCGUUAGAGGUGAAAUUCUUGGAUCGGCGCAAGACGAACGACUGCGAAAGCAUUUGCCAAGAAUGUUUUCUUUAAUCAAGAGCGAAAGUCAGACGUUCGAAGACGAUCAGAUACCGUCCUAGUUCUGACUAUAAACGAUGCCAACUAGCGAUCGGGGGGCGUUACAUUGACGACCCCUCCGGCAGCUUACGGGAAACCAAAGUCUUUGGCUUCCGGCGGAAGUAUGGUUGCAAAGCUGAAACUUAAAGGAAUUGACGGAAGGGCACCACCAGGAGUGGAGCCUGCGGCUUAAUUUGACUCAACACGGGAAAUCUCACCCGGCCCGGACACAGUGAGGAUUGACAGAUUGAGAGCUCUUUCUUGAUUCUGUGGGCGGUGGUGCAUGGCCGUUCUUAGUUGGUGGAGCGAUUUGUCUGGUUAAUUCCGAUAACGAACGAGACUCUGGCUUGCUAAAUAGUUACGCGACCAUCCCGGUCGGCGUUUAACUUCUUAGAGGGACAAGUGGCGUUUAGCCACACGAGCUUGAGCAAUAACAGGACUGUGAUGCCCUUAGAUUUCCGGGGCGGAAC
rnacentral:ncRNA from 1 species